UGGGGAAUAUUGCACAAUGGGGGAAACCCUGAUGCAGCGACGCCGCGUGCGGGAUGAAGGCCUUCGGGUUGUAAACCGCUUUCAGCAGGGACGAGGCGAAAGUGACGGUACCUGCAGAAGAAGCCCCGGCUAACUACGUGCCAGCAGCCGCGGUAAUACGUAGGGGGCAAGCGUUAUCCGGAUUCAUUGGGCGUAAAGCGCUCGUAGGCGGUCUGUUAGGUCGGGAGUUAAAUCCGGGGGCUCAACCCCCGUUCGCUCCCGAUACCGGCAGACUUGAGUUUGGUAGGGGAAGGUGGAAUUCCUAGUGUAGCGGUGGAAUGCGCAGAUAUUAGGAAGAACACCAGUGGCGAAGGCGGCCUUCUGGGCCAUAACUGACGCUGAGGAGCGAAAGCUAGGGGAGCAAACAGGAUUAGAUACCCUGGUAGUCCUAGCUGUAAACGAUGAUCACUGGGUGUGGGGAUGAAUAGUCUCUGUGCCGAAGCAAAAGCGAUAAGUGAUCCGCCUGGGGAGUACGUACGCAAGUAUG
rnacentral:rRNA from 1 species